rnacentral:lncRNA from 1 species
AAUACCCAGGGACCAGUCAGGCCAGUGACACCUGCGAUCAACAGGUCCCUGGAGCCCCGCCCCUCUCCCCGCCUCGAGCCCGCCCCUCGGAGCGGGCUCCGCCUUCACGCUCACCGAGAUGACUGUAAUUGCAAAGAAGAGCUUGCUGUGAUAUCUGAUGGCAGAACAAUAGUGUGCUACCACCAUUCUGUGGACAUUUCAUAUGAGCAUACAAAACAAACCCUCAAUCAGAUUCUGUGCAUGAUAAUGAAGAAACAUAUGUUCAAGUGCUGAAAACUAGAUUGGAAGAUAAAGAUACUGAUCCUGGAGUGCUACAGGACCUAGAAGAGGUCUUUUCCAAGAGGCCUGGGACCCGAGGCCAGUUAGCUAUGUUGUAGAACUUUCAUGAACCCUUAUAUUUUACAUAGGUAGGAUUAAGGAAAAAUGAAUGUUAGAAACAGAGUUUAAAAAUUAAGUUUGAGAAUGGAAUAUAUGUAGAAAUUGAUCAGUAUUCCUGCUUGCUUUUUCAAGGUAACAUGGGGAAGAAAAAAACAUUAUUUCAGGUUGAUUAAAUAAUGCAUUUGUCAUUAUUUCAGCUGACAGAGGAGUCACCUUCUUUCAUUGGUUAUAACUUCCAGGUGCCUACUUUCCUUAAGCAAGGUGGAAACACCCUAAAGCAAGGGACUUGGAGAUUAUUGUUUUUAUUCACUAUAUGCUUGUUUUGUUGUGUCGAGGAAUCAGAAUCCAGGUGCAAUAUUUUUCUUGAUUCAAAACAUUCCAAACAGGUAUUUACAUGAAAAACCAUUUUAGGUAUUAAAAAAAGAGGCAGUACUGUACUACAUGUCAAUCCCAUGGGAACUCCCUUCUGAUUAUGUAAUACACUUCCCAAAGAGUUACAGUAUACUGAUCAAGGAAAGUAUCCACCAUUAUUGAUUUUUAAAAAUUCUUACAUAACGUACAAAAUGUGAAUGCUCACAAGAAAUAAGACCAUUUUAGCAAGCUCCUAAAUAGGCUACCUU